rnacentral:rRNA from 1 species
UGAGGAAUAUUGGUCAAUGGGCGAAAGCCUGAACCAGCGACGCCGCGUGGGUGAAGAAGGUCUUCGGAUCGUAAAGCCCUUUUCUGUGUGACGAGUAAGGACGGUAGCACAGGAAUAAGUCUCGGCUAACUACGUGCCAGCAGCCGCGGUAAAACGUAGGAGACAAGCGUUAUCCGGAGUUACUGGGCGUAAAGGGCGUGCAGGCGGUUGACUAAGUUCGUCGUGAAAUCGCCCGGCUUAACCGGGCGGGGUCGAUGAAUACUGGUGAACUAGAGGACGGUAGAGGCGUGUGGAAUUCCGGGUGUAGUGGUGAAAUGCGUAGAUAUCCGGAGGAACACCAGUGGCGAAAGCGACACGCUGGGCCGUACCUGACGCUAAGACGCGACAGCAUGGGGAGCGAAC